AUACGGAGGGGGCUAGCGUUGUUCGGAAUUACUGGGCGUAAAGCGCGCGUAGGCGGCUUAUCAAGUUAGGCGUGAAAGGCCUGGGCUCAACCCGGGAACUGCGCUUAAUACUGGUAGACUUGAGUCCGGGAGAGGGUGGCGGAAUUCCCAGUGUAGAGGUGAAAUUCGUAGAUAUUGGGAAGAACACCAGUGGCGAAGGCGGCCACCUGGCCCGGUACUGACGCUGAGGUGCGAAAGCGUGGGGAGCAAACAGGAUUAGAUACCCGUGUAGUCC
rnacentral:rRNA from 1 species